GACGAACGCUGGCGGCGCGCCUAACACAUGCAAGUCGAACGAGCGAGAGAGAGCUUACUUUCUCAAGCGAGUGGCGAACGGGUGAGUAACGCGUGAGGAACCUGCCUCAAAGAGGGGGACAACAGUUGGAAACGACUGCUAAUACCGCAUAAGCCCACAGGUCGGCAUCGACCAGAGGGAAAAGGAGCAAUCCGCUUUGAGAUGGCCUCGCGUCCGAUUAGCUGGAUGGUGAGGUAACGGCCCACCAUGGCGACGAUCGGUAGCCGGACUGAGAGGUUGAUCGGCCACAUUGGGACUGAGACACGGCCCAG
rnacentral:rRNA from 1 species